rnacentral:rRNA from 1 species
UAGGGAAUCUUCCACAAUGGACGCAAGUCUGAUGGAGCAACGCCGCGUGAGUGAAGAAGGUUUUCGGAUCGUAAAGCUCUGUUGUUGGUGAAGAAGGAUAGAGGUAGUAACUGGCCUUUAUUUGACGGUAAUCAACCAGAAAGUCACGGCUAACUACGUGCCAGCAGCCGCGGUAAUACGUAGGUGGCAAGCGUUGUCCGGAUUUAUUGGGCGUAAAGCGAGCGCAGGCGGAAGAAUAAGUCUGAUGUGAAAGCCCUCGGCUUAACCGAGGAACUGCAUCGGAAACUGUUUUCUUGAGUGCAGAAGAGGAGAGUGGAAUUCCAUGUGUAGCGGUGGAAUGCGUAGAUAUAUGGAAGAACACCAGUGGCGAAGGCGACUCUCUGGUCUGCAACUGACGCUGAGGCUCGAAAGCAUGGGUAGCGAACAGG